rnacentral:lncRNA from 1 species
UUUCAGGUUCACCCUCGCCAUGUUAAAUUAGCAACAAGACUUCUAAAAACUUUAGUAAUCAGGCAUGUUUUGUUUAUUGAUUCUUGUAGAAUAGUAAUAGCCUGCAAACAUAUGUAUCACUAAUUAUGUAUGGGAACCUGUAGUGUGGAGUCAAAUGUGAUUGAUUUGACCGAGUUCCAAGAAGAGAAUCAAGAAGAAGGCGAUGUUGAACCUCCGAUAGCAGAUGCUGAUGCGUAUUCCAAUAACGACCAACCAGGUUGCUAUUUUUCUCUGGAGAAGAUGGAUAGAAACUAGAAAUUCUUUUAGGGUGUUUUUUUCAUCUGAAUUUGUGGAAUACGAAACUGUUGGGUUUUGAGCAUUCUAACACUCCUAAGUGUACAUGCAACCCUAAAUACCUUGGAUCUAUGUUUUCUCUAUUAUACAUGCAAAUAAGAACUUCCAAGGUAUUAUCCUAAUCUAGCAUAAAAAACAAUGACUAUAGCAAGAUAGAAUACAUACCUCUUUGAAGUAGCUUGAUGUCUUCAAGCUUUAAGAGCUUAGCCCCAAUAGUGUGGAAGCCUCAAGUGGAAUCACAAAUCACCAAGACACCUUGGAAGACUUUAGAGAAUAUGAAUACUUGGUUCUAUCUAGUAAAAUCGGCUAGCCCUCUUAUUGUAUCCACACUAGUGCCAAUUUCACCAACCAAAGACAUCUUUAUAUAGUGUGGAGGAUUAGGGUUAAACCCUAAUACCCAUGACCUUUCAUUUCUUAGGAUCCAUGGGUUAAACACUCCAUGGACUAUCCAUGAAAGCUUAGCCCAACCUAAAUGAACUUGGCCCAUUCCAUAUAUAUAAGAGUCCAUAUUUAAUUAGUUCCUUUUGAUCACUUAAUUAAUUAUAAAUUAAUUCUUGAUCAAUACUAAUUAAAUAAUAUGAUUCCAUAUUAAUAUAUUAGAACUUAUAAUAUAUUAAUAUUAAUCAUAAACAUACUAUUCUCAAAAGAUUAUCCAUAUAAAUUGUGUCGGUGAAGUGCAACCCAAAUGGACCAUGCCGGGUCGGGUCAAGUACAUACCAAAUAUAGUUAUGGACUUAGACAUUAAUCCAACAGUCUCCCACUUGGAUAAGUCUAAAACUAUUAUUGCGUAUGACUUCAAACCUAACUGGCAAUCGUAGCUCUUAAAGCUGCUGUCGAACUCUGAUCUUGUCAACGAACUUGUCCAUUAGAUAAGGGAUCAUAUAUUCCUCCAUUCUAGAUAUCAUAUGGACUGAGACAUGGAUUAUAAUCAUUCUCUCUGUCCAUUUGUUGUUUCCCGAUUUCCGAUUUAUGACGACUGACUAAUUGAACAAAUCAAAUCAGUCCUGGCCCGGCCGAGCACUUCCAUUUGUCAUCAUCAAAUCAUCGAGGGGCCCACAGAUAUCGCUUUUAUCCCGAAGGUAAAAGGAAUGGAUAAACUUCGACUCAUAUGGCUUGUUCUACUACUUGUUGAAUCAUACACAAAGGCACGUUUUAUAGCACCGAGUUACCAAAUGCGUUUUCGUGCAAUCAAUGUACAACCAACUCAUAGUAACAACUCAUAUCUCUAGGUUUGAAGAAUAUAAGAUAUUAUCGUCUCAUGAUCACUCGUGAUAAAAUCCAUGAAGUGAUUCCAAUGAGCGCGGGUUGAAUCCAAUACUCAGAACUUAUGAGCACUCAUGAGUGUUGUAGCCCUUUGUCCAACACCUUAGACCUCUACAAGCCAACCCAUGACAGUCUUAAUUCAUAUCUACUUCCAACAUAUGACCGACUGUGGAUGGUUUGAAUAACUUAGUCAUUCCGGAAGAAUAACCUAGUUUAUUCGGGAAGUCAAAACAUGCAAAGUGAAACACAAUAAUAAUUGAAUCCAAUAUGGUAUCAACCCUUUGAACAUAAAUAAAACACCUUUUAUUUAUCACCAUAUGAUUACACAUUAUUCAUUGUAUACUGUUUCAGCUAUCAACUUUAUUCUUGAAUUUAAAACAAUAGUUGUCCCAUGCUCCAAGCAUGUACACUAUGUUUUCUUAAACACUAGUCAUGCCACACACCAAGUAUGCAUACUAUGUUUGUCUAUGAUCUUUACUUUGUGAACUAGAUCAAUUGAACAUAACUUCAAUGAUUCUCUUUUCACACUCCCAAAUCCUUACUGCAAAUGCAAGAAUUCCAAAUUCAUGCCAUUUACUGAAAUCUGUUAGAUUCUAAACUUAUAUGCAUUGAUCCUCUUGUAAUGAUUAUGCACAAAGUCACAAAGACUUGGCAACAAUCAUUACAGAGUAUUCCAAAGGAGAUCAACUCCUUGGAAAUAUCCUUCUUGCAUUAAGUUUCCUUAAUCUUACACAGAUUGAAAAUUCUAACUUUGAAACAUUUCCAGAUUCCAUUUUGACUAUCACUUCUGAACAAGAGUUGCCUCCUUACAGAUUAUGUCAAUAUGGUCCUUCCAGAAUUAUCACUAUACUUCCAAUUGUCCUUGAGUAACCAAUCUUUGGUAAACCUUAGAUUGUCCUCGACAAUUGUUUAAUCCUUUUAGUCAUAUCCAGUUCUAAACCUUUUCCCUUCUUAAUGCCCCAGGCAUUUGGAAAAUUUUAGAACGGAUGAAUAUAGCACAUGUAAUCGAUCCUAUAUCCGAAGCAUAUGGGACACGAUUCAUGAUGUCUUACAUAAAGACUAAACCAGUCUUUUGCUAUAAUAUUUCCAUUUCAAUUUGCCAAGUUCUCAUAAUUCAGAUUAUGAAAAGGGAUGCCGUAAUCAUAAUCGAAUUUUAGAACGCAAAUAAUGGACCCAUAUACAGAAUUUCCUUAUGUUGAGCCAUUCCAACAUGAAAUUCAUAUAUAUCCUUGACUAAAUGAUUAAAACCUCACGAUCUAAGCUUAUAGAUUUGAGAUGAAGCAUAAUUUCCUCUCCCUUAAUUAUAGCAAAACAACUUUUUCCCAAUUGAAACUUUUGUUUUCUAUAAUUAACAUUGCUAACUUGCAAUACUUAUCAUAAUUAUCAUGCUCCCACUAACAUGAUGAUUAUUAGCAUAACACUUAUGCUCCCACUAGCUUUGACAUGUACUCAGAAAUCAGCUGGACAGUCUGAAAUUUAGAUUCAUACACCCUUUCCGUAGAUAGCUCACCUGUGUGUCUAAGCAAUUUCAAGAACCAUGAAAAGGGAUACCGUAAUCAUGGUCUCAAUUGCUUAGGCAUUUGCCAUUUCUCACAAGUCCAUGUUAGUGUGCCGGUUAACCACACGCGCUCCACUAACGACUUUUGAAAAUGCAAAUAACACAAUUGAUAUCUUCGUAAAAUCUACUUAGUGAAAGCGUUUCCUCACCAUCAUUUUCAUGAAUCGGAGAGAAACCUUAUGACACUUAGAUUUAUAUGGUGUAUGAGUUCCUACCCAUAUGAAUUUGUCAAACCAUAAUCACAAGACAAAGAUAAUGACAAAUCCAAAACCAUAUGGAUUGAACUCAAUCUUAACUUCUUGCCACCUGGCAGCUCAAGGGCCUGCCAUUGCUUCCAAGUUGUUGUGCAACAAAUUGAGAACUCUAAGAACUCAUAUGCAAAACCAACUUUAACUGGAAUGGGCACAGAAUAUGUCAACACGAUAGGUUAUGAACCUCAAGUCGUGUGCUAGUGAAGAACUUUAGGUUUUAUUCUUGAUUAUUUCUUGAGACUUUCAAGACCUUUAAGACUCCCACUGUCCUCUUGACAUAUAAGACUCCCUUGUCAAACAUCCAAGAGAUAGUGCGGAUUCUAAUCAAGAAAAACACUUUACCCAAUUGGCCUAAGUUGGUCUUUGUUUUAUCCAAAACAUCACAACUUACCAAUUUCAAAUGUACAAGAGUAGAAAACUUUUACUCUUACAUUUGACAAGUGUUUUAAACCUUCUUUAAGACAUGUCACUCAAAUGACAAUCUUGGAGUAUGACUCUAAGACUUGUAUUGGAACGAAGUAUGACUCAUCUUCUUGAUUUAACCAUUUCAACAAUUCAAGUUCCUCUUCUUAGUCAUAAGAAUGCACUAAGAUUUCCUUAGAGAACUAAUUUUGAUAUGGUUUCUUAAUCAUUAAGAUGAUCACAAAACUGAUACUAAAGUACUCUCCCAUCUUUUCAGAUUUGAGAAACUUUUAUCCUUCUGCCUUAUUUGAUUCUUCUUAUCGAUCUUUAGUGGUGGACUUAAUCAGUGCACAAGAAUGUGUACUCGAUCCCUAAGUCCUUUACUUGACUCACACAUCCAUGUGAACAAGUAAUUAGUCUUAAUUUUCCAAAACUUGAAAGUUCUCAUUCAUCAUGCUAUACAACUUGCAUGAUUCCAAGUUCCGGUCCAAUUGAAACUUGGGUGAUGAGAAUCUUUCCUUAUUUGGUAAAUUUAGACAUUACCACAAAUGAAAGAAUCAAUUUCAUACUUCCACUCUUGCUACUAAUGGAAUCUUAUAAGCAACAAAAAUUUCCACAGAUGCCAUUGUAAGGAUAUUUUAAAAUAAAUAAAAUCAAAAAUUUCCUUUUAUUUUAAAACUUUGCGGAAAAACUAUCCUUACAAUCCAUAUGAAAACUUGUUGUUAUCUAUUCCUAAGCAAUAUCUCAUAACUCCUAAGAAGUAGCUCAAGAAUCCGAUUUUUCAAACUAUGCGAUAGAAAUCCAUCUAUGCGAUCAGAUUCAGCAUAUUCUUCCUUUAAGUUUCUUCACUUUCCUUUGAUUCUUAAACCAUCACCAUGCGACCCGGUCACAUCAUGUAUCAAGAAUCUCAGAAUAGAAACUUAACAGAGUUAGAUAGUGGAUUUUACCUGAAGUAGAGUCAAACUUAUUGACUUUAACAUCCUUAGGUAAAUUUGGCAGCUUCGCAACCAAUGCCCUUUCUUUGGCAAUACAAACAUAUGGACCCUUUGAUAAUGGUACACAGGACUAUCACAGACUUAGCUUUUCUCUUUACCAUUUGGUCAACCGAGUUGACUAUAGCCGAUCCCUUUCCAUUGGGAAGAGAAUGCUUUACUGGAUAUCCAAUGUCAUCAUUGUCAAUGUCCAUAAAGUUUUAGGAAGUUGAUCUUAGCAAAUAGAUAAGAUCAUUAAGGGUCUUGUCAUAGUCUGUUUCAUAGGUGUCCCAAAGGAACUCACUAUGUGACUUAGAAAGUGGUUGAACCACCAACUUUCUCAAGACUUUGACACCCAACUCUCCCGGCUUGUCAAUAUGUGACUACAUCUCCAAGAUGUGACCACACCUAGACCUUGCCUUGCCAAUAGGGCCUGAGUGACCUUAAACUUUUCAAGAACUUGUGGGUUAGGGAGAAUAAUUUGAAGAGGUGAAGAAGUAUGAUAUCCAUGGGACAUCAUCUUCAUUAGGAAACCUUGUUUCAAGAGAUUUGGGAAGAUCAUAGGUGUCUAAACCAGACAUCUUUUGGGAGAUAUUCAAGAUAGUUGAUUUAAAGUCCUUAAUAUGACACCCAAUAUGAAAUAUUAAGGCUAGGACCCAACAAACUAUUUUAUAACUUAGAAGAGGUAUGCCGUAAUCCAAGCUAUAAAAUAUUUGAAGGUAGGUGAAUGACGAUUCACCAAUUUCCACCAAGAUAAACGAAAUGUAUUAUUAGGUUUUAAUUGGUUUUGAAACUCCUAGAUCUUUGAGAUUCAUUGAACUUUUCAAAGGCAUGUUUCAAUCUCGAGUGUGCCCUUCAGGUUUUGUGACUGGGAUGCCGAGGAUCACAAAACAAGGUGUGAAGUAACCAUGCAAAUCACUUGGUACCCUUAAUAAAUUACCCCUCAAUCGAUGUGCCGGUUAACCACACACGCUCCAUCGAUACUAUGAUAAAUAUUAAGUCACCCUUUACCUACCUUGUUAAGUCCAAGUUAGUGUGCCGGUUAACCACACACGCUCCACUAACGACUUAGACAAAGUGUAAAGUGUAAUUUCAUGGAUUAGCACCUUAUUCACAUUUUUCCUAAGUAACUAAGAUUGGGUAUUAUUAAGAGUUUAGUUACUUAGUAUUAUCAUUAAUACUUUUAAUGAAGGGAGAAUUCUAGUCCUGUCAAACCCGUUCGGCUAACGACCCUCCACCAGUCAAGCAAGCGGUGGGUGAGAGUGGACACCCAUUAAGUUGCCAUUUUAUAGGCAACAACCUUAUACCCACCUUAUAGACCGGCUUCGUGAAUGAGGCGUACUAGCGGUAAGACUGACUUUACUCUUAUACAUAUAUAUAUUAUUAACUUAUAAUAUUAUAAAGUAUAAGGGUUGAAUUUUAACUUUUAAAAUUCUAAGGGCUAACUUGGAAUUAAAGUAUUCAUAAGUGAAAACUUUACAAAUUCCAAAACUUGAGGGCAAGUUUUGAAACUAUUCAAAACUAAUUAAUUCCAUAACUUAUGUGUUUAAAGUAGUUUUAAUCCAAAAACUCUUCAAGUUCCAUAACUUGAGGACAAGUUAUGGAAGACUUUAAACUAAUAAAAGAAUUAACUUUUCUUUAUUUUAUAACUUAUGGAAUUAAUUAAGGUUACACCUUUUUUUAUUUUAUUUUAUUUUAUUAAAUGAAGAGACUCUUGGUCCUCCAUAACUUGAGGACAAGUUAUGGAGUCAUAAAACCAUUUAAUUAGAACUAGACUCUUCAUUUUUGUAACCUUUGCCAAUUUUUAUGAGUUUUAUGAUUCUUAAAUGUGACUUUUCAUAUAACUUGAGGACAAGUUACAAAAACACAUUUUAGAAUCAAUUCUUAGAUUAAUUUGGAUUAAAACCAACUAUCACAUAAUUUUAUUCAUUAAUCUAAAUUCACUCAUAAAACAAGAUAACACAAAAAACUUUUGGUGAUCCAUAACUUAUUCUUAAGUUAUGUAAUCCUUUAAAACAUUAACACCAAAUUUUGUAACUCCAAAAAAACUUUGAAUCAAUUUUUUUUUUAAAACCUUUUCAUAUCCAUAACUUAUGGAGGUUUCAAAAAAUAAAACUCUUUAGAUCAAACUUUUAAAACUAAUAAAAUAAUCAUAUUAUUUUAUCUUUUAUUAAAUUUGACCUAAUUCAACUCAUAAAGCAAAUUAUUCAAAUUUUACAAAUAAUUAGUUUUUCACAAGAACAAGUAAUUAUCUUAAAAUUUGACAAACUUCAUGUUUUUUUUUUUUUUUUUUUUUCAACUUUGAAAAUAAAAUAUUUGCAUCAAUAUAACAGAAAACAACCCGUGGCUCUGAUACCACUGUUGGGUUUUGAGCAUUCUAACACUUCCUAAGUGUACAUGCAACCCUAAAUACCUUGGAUCUAUGUUUUCUCUAUUAUACAUGCAAAUAAGAACAUCCAAGGUAUUAUCCUAAUCUAGCAUACAAAAACUAUGAAUGUACAAGAUAGAAUACAUACCUCUUUGAAGUAGCUUGAUGUCUUCAAGCUUUAAGAGCUUAGCCCCAAUAGAGUGGAAGCCUCAAGUGGAAUCACAAAUCACCAAGACACCUUGGAAGACUUUAGAGAAUAUGAAUACUUGGUUCUAUCUAAGUAAAAUCGGCUAGCCCUCUUAGUGUAUCCACACUAGUGCCAAUUUCACCAACCAAAGACAUCUUUAUAUAGUAUGGAGGAUUAGGGUUAAACCCUAAUACCCAUGACCUUUCAUUUCCUAGGAUCCAUGGGUUAAACACUCCAUGGACUAUCCAUGAAAGCUUAGCCCAACCUAAAUGAACUUGGCCCAUUCCAUAUAUAUAAGAGUCCAUAUUUAAUUAGUUCCUUUUGAUCACUUAAUUAAUU